UAUAGGCUACUAGCUUUUACAUUUUUAGCAAAUCUCUUCAGCAUUUUCAGCGACUCAACAGAUUUGUUGAUGUGAUAUGGGCUUCAGGGCCACCGUACAGCAGGCCUUUUGGAACAAUAAAAGUGUAUAAAAGAGAUUGUUUUUGCAAAGACAGACACACUUAUGUAUUUCCAAAAAAAAUGUAUUUAAUAAAAGCUUUUCAUGCAUUAAUUUCUACAUAUUCUAUUAGCUUCAUAUUCCUAAUCUGAAGACACACAGGGAUGUCAAAGGAUUCUGCAGCCUCGGGUGUGGUGAGAUCAGCUGGAAAAACUCUGCUCCUGUGAUCUUUUAGCGUGAACAAACCAGCAGAAGCAGAUUUCCUCCAUCACAGGGAUCCAGAGAGGAAAGGGUUAAAAUCAUCAACUUCCUCUGCUCUAACUGACGGAUGAUUGCGCCACGCUCUGAUGGCUUCCUGCUGAAUGACCCCGAUGAAGUCCAACCUGUCGUUGGCGCUCUGAGCUCCGUUGCUAUCCAGACGGAUUAUGAGUGCUAAUGAGGUCUGUUAUCUGAGCGGGACAGGUGACGGAAAGGUUUGUGAGGAGCGGAACUUAGCCACUGUGAACAUAGUUUUGACUGAACUGUUCACGGAGCGAGCUAAGCCCUUCACCUCCACCAAACCCACCGGGAGACCACCUCCCGUCCCCGCAGACGGACCAGCUCGCAGGGCAGAACCACAAAGAGGCGCUACAACAGGCAUUUCUGUGUUUGAUCAGAAAACUGUAGGUUCAGAAAAUGAGGAAACGCUGAAGCUGAACUUCCUCCUCUGAUCAUCAUGACGGCAGCAUCCCUGCCAGGAGACGCCCACCAUGAAGUGAGAGUAACUGAACUACAGUUAGAGGCUGACAGAUUAUCAGAUUAUGUUUAUAAUCUGCAAUGAUAAAUCCAUUUUCUUUGAA